rnacentral:rRNA from 2 species
AGCGGUGGAGCAUGUGGUUUAAUUCGAAGCAACGCGAAGAACCUUACCAGGUCUUGACAUCCUCUGACAAUCCUAGAGAUAGGACGUUCCCCUUCGGGGGACAGAGUGACAGGUGGUGCAUGGUUGUCGUCAGCUCGUGUCGUGAGAUGUUGGGUUAAGUCCCGCAACGAGCGCAACCCUUGAUCUUANUUGCCAGCAUUCAGUUGGGCACUCUAAGGUGACUGCCGGUGACAAACCGGAGGAAGGUGGGGAUGACGUCAAAUCAUCAUGCCCCUUAUGACCUGGGCUACACACGUGCUACAAUGGAUGGUACNAAGGGCUGCAAGACCGCGAGGUUUAGCCNAUCCCAUAAAACCAUUCUCAGUUCGGAUUGCAGGCUGCAACUCGCCUGCAUGAAGCCGGAAUCNCUAGUAAUCGCGGAUCANCAUGCCGCGGUGA